CAGGGGAUCUUCCCGACCCAAGGAUUGAACCCGAGUUUCUUAUGUCUCCUGCAUUGGCAGGACCAUGCAUCACUGGAGAGAGGAAGUAGGAGGGGGGCUGAGUCCACAAAGCCCCAAUGAAAACCUUGCCUUUGGCUUCCUGACUUCAAGCCAGCAGAUGCAGAACGGUACUGCUGUAUGGCUCCUCAGAGAGGAAUCGGGGCUCAGCUGUUUACCUGGAGGAGCCACACAUCUACCGUAAUAAAGACACAUGCCCGCUUUCUCA